rnacentral:rRNA from 1 species
UCAGGUGGCCGCAGAGAAUAGGCCCAAGCGACUGUUUACCAAAAACAUAGGUUUCUGCUAAGUCGCAAGACGAUGUAUAGGAGCUGACGCCUGCCCGGUGCUGGAAGGUUAAGGGGAUCUGUUAGAGCAAUCGAAGCAGUGAACUUAAGCCCCAGUAAACGGCGGCCGUAACUAUAACGGUCCUAAGGUAGCGAAAUUCCUUGUCGGGUAAG